rnacentral:rRNA from 1 species
UUUGCCUACGGGAGGCAGCAGUUAGGAAUAUUCGGCAAUGGGGGAAACCCUGACCGAGCAAUGCCGCGUGUGAGAUGGCGGCCCUAUGGGUUGUAAAUCACUUUUAUUUGGGGAGAACUGUAAGUAGAGGAAAUGAUACUUACUUGACGGUACCUUUUGAAUAAGCCCCGGCUAACUACGUGCCAGCAGCCGCGGUAAUACGUAGGUGGCGAGCGUUGUCCGGAUUUACUGGGCGCAAAGGGAGCGUAGGCGGGCUUUUAAGUGAGAUGUGAAAUACUCGGGCUCAACUUGAGUGCUGCAUUUCA